rnacentral:hammerhead_ribozyme from 1 species
AUCCAGCAGACCACGAGUCCCAAAUAGGACGAAAUGCACGUUAUCCUGGAU